rnacentral:rRNA from 1 species
GACGGAGGAUGCAAGCGUUAUCCGGAAUGAUUGGGCGUAAAGCGUCCGCAGGUGGCAGUUCAAGUCUGCUGUCAAAGACCGGGGCUUAACUUCGGAAAGGCAGUGGAAACUGAACAGCUAGAGUAUGGUAGGGGCAGAGGGAAUUCCUGGUGUAGCGGUGAAAUGCGUAGAGAUCAGGAAGAACAUCGGUGGCGAAGGCGCUCUGCUGGACCAUAACUGACACUCAGGGACGGAAGCUAGGGGAGCGAAUGGG